GGAGGAAAAGAAACCAACAGGGAUUGCCCUAGUAACGGCGAGUGAAGCGGCAACAGCUCAAAUUUGAAAGCUAGCCUUCGGGUUCGCAUUGUAAUUUGUAGAGGAUGCUUUGGGUAAAACGCCAGUCUAAGUUCCUUGGAACAGGACGUCAUAGAGGGUGAGAAUCCCGUAUGUGACUGGAAAUGUUAACCUAUGUAAAGCUCCUUCGACGAGUCGAGUUGUUUGGGAAUGCAGCUCUAAAUGGGAGGUAAAUUUCUUCUAAAGCUAAAUAUUGGCGAGAGACCGAUAGCGCACAAGUAGAGUGAUCGAAAGAUGAAAAGCACUUUGGAAAGAGAGUUAAAAAGCACGUGAAAUUGUUGAAAGGGAAGCGCUUGCAAUCAGACUUGUUUAAACUGUUCGGCCGGUCUUCUGACCGGUUUACUCAGUUUGGACAGGCCAGCAUCAGUUUCGGCGGCCGGAUAAAGGCAUUGGGAAUGUGGCCUUCACUUCGGUGGAGGUGUUAUAGCCCAGUGUGUAAUACGGCCAGCCG
rnacentral:rRNA from 1 species